AGAAUCAACGCUGGCGGCGUGCCUAACACAUGCAAGUCGCACGAGAAAGUGGAGCAAUCCAUGAGUAAAGUGGCGCACGGGUGAGUAACACGUGAAUUAUCUACCUCCGAGUGGGGAAUAACUGAGAGAAAUCUUAGCUAAUACCGCAUAACACUUACGAGUCAAAGCAGCAAUGCGCUUGGAGAGGAGUUCGCGGCCGAUUAGUUAGUUGGCGGGUAACGGCCCACCAAGACGAUGAUCGGUA
rnacentral:rRNA from 1 species